GAYGUGGCUGGUUUGCGGUGUGGUGAUACUUAUUUGUAUCAUUUUGAUGUGUUUAUUAGGAUCUUGGUGCAACAUCAAAGGACUUUGCUUCUCGAUCAGGAAAAUACACCAUGGAUCUCAUUAUUGGUGAUGCUGUCAUUCAAAAUCC